rnacentral:rRNA from 1 species
GACGAACGCUGGCGGCGUGCUUAACACAUGCAAGUCGAACGGAAAGGCCCUGCUUUUGUGGGGUGCUCGAGUGGCGAACGGGUGAGUAACACGUGAGUAACCUGCCCUUGACUUUGGGAUAACUUCAGGAAACUGGGGCUAAUACCGGAUAGGAGCUCCUGCUGCAGGGUGGGGGUUGGAAAGUUUCGGCGGUUGGGGAUGGACUCGCGGCUUAUCAGCUUGUUGGUGGGGUAGUGGCUUACCAAGGCUUUGACGGGUAGCCGGCCUGAGAGGGUGACCGGCCCCAUUGGGACUGAGAUACGGCCCAGACUCCUACGGGAGGCAGCAGUGGGGAAUAUUGCACAAUGGGCGGAAGCCUGAUGCAGCAACGCCGCGUGCGGGAUGACGGCCUUCGGGUUGUAAACCGCUUUCGCCUGUGACGAAGCGUGAGUGACGGUAAUGGGUAAAGAAGCACCGGCUAACUACGUG